rnacentral:rRNA from 1 species
UCCUGGCUUAGGAUGAACGCUAGCGGCAGGCUUAACACAUGCAAGUCGAGGGGCAGCGGGAUGUAGCAAUACAUUGCCGGCGACCGGCGGAUGGGUGCGUAACGCGUAUGCAACCUACCUUAUACAGGGGAAUAACCUUUCGAAAGGGAGACUAACACCCCAUAGUAUUGAUUUAAGGCAUCUUAGAUUAAUUAAAUAUUUAUAGGUAUAAGAUGGGCAUGCGUAUGAUUAGCUAGUUGGUAAGGUAACGGCUUACCAAGGCGACGAUCAUUAGGGGUUCUGAGAGGAAGGUCCCCCACACUGGUACUGAGACACGGACCAGACUCCUACGGGAGGCAGCAGUGAGGAAUAUUGGUCAAUGGGCGCAAGCCUGAACCAGCCAUGCCGCGUGCAAGGAAGACGGCCUUAUGGGUUGUAAACUGCUUUUACAUAAGACUAACCGUAUAUUUGCGAAUAUACCUGAAUGUAUUAUGAGAAUAAGGAUCGGCUAACUCCGUGCCAGCCGCCGC